rnacentral:rRNA from 1 species
CAAUAGCGUAUAUUAAAGUUGUUGCGGUAAAAAAGCUCGUAGUUGGAUUUCUGUUGAGAGCGACCGGUCCAUACCAUGUAUGCGUAUCUGGCUUGCUCUCGGCAUCCUCUCGAUAGACGUUACUGCGCUUGAUUGCGUGGUGCGGAUCUCGGGACUUUUACUUUGAGGAAAUUAGAGUGUUCACGGCAGGCUUUCGCCAGAAUACAUUAGCAUGGAAUAAUACUAUAGGAUCUUGGUUCUAUUUUGUUGGUUUCUAGAAUUGAGAUAAUGAUUAAUAGGGACAAUUGGGGGCAUUCGUAUCAACACGUCAGAGGUGGAAUUCUUGGAUUGUGUUGCGACGAACUACUGCGAAAGCAUUUACCAAGGAUGUUUUCAUUAA